CUUUCCGUUUAUCAAGUAUGAAUCUUGUCAAAUAAAUCAAUGGCUGAAAUGCAUCAAGUGGAGCAAAAUCAAAAUUCAGUUUUGGGAAUUCCAGUCUAUAAAAUCAUUGAAGAGGUUAAAUAUACUGCAAAAGUAUAAAGAUGUCACUGAGAAACACAUAUCUGAUAAAGAUCCUUCCUGCUUGAACUUGAAGUCUGCCUCAGAAAGAUCUCGAAGUGGUGGAAGAAAGUUGACAUGCAAAAAGGACAAAAAGAGACAAAGAUAGCAAAUGAAUUUAUGAAAUAAAUCUUGUAUCAAAAGAAAUAUCAUUGUAUAACUAAAUUUGAUAUUGCUCCUCAGUAAAUUUGUAUUCAUUUAA